rnacentral:rRNA from 1 species
UACGUAGGUGGUAAGCGUUGUCCGGAUUUACUGGGCGUAAAGAGCGCGCAGGCGGUCGUUCAAGUCGCGUGUGAAAGCCCCCGGCUCAACUGGGGAGGGUCACGCGAUACUGAUCGACUCGAAGGCAGGAGAGGGUAGUGGAAUUCCCGGUGUAGUGGUGAAAUGCGUAGAUAUCGGGAGGAACACCAGUGGCGAAGGCGACUACCUGGCCUGUUCUUGACGCUGAGGCGCGAAAGCUAGGGGAGCAAACGGG